UCGAUAAAGGUUUCCAUCUGACGUCAUGAGCCUUGGUGAUGGAUGUCUCGCUUCUGACUGGAUACACAUCACUGUCAAUUCUUUCAGUUGUACAACAGACAGCAUACUUCUGAGGAUGGCAACACCGUACAGCCGCCCACCACCACUGCACAUCACCUGUGUUAAAGUGCACAGUAGCCAAAAGGCUUUGACAUUUAUUAAACAUGAAAACAAAAUAAUUGUUGACACCUACAAAGUCACAUCUUUAUGUGCCCUUACGGAUGGUGAUGCAGUUUAUCUGUCCAUAAAAAACGGCAGUGACCCUGAAUUUGAAGAGGGACACUCAUAUAUUGUAAAAAAUGUAACCAUCUCAAACAAAUACGGCCGCCGAUGUUUAUUUGUAAAUAAAGGCACCAUCAAAUUUAGGACGGCUCCGCUAGCCAUAAGUGAGGAGGCUAAAAGAGCUGCAAGGGAGGCCCUCUGUCCUCAUUCACGACCUAUAACAGGAGAGGAAGAGGAUAUCUUCAGUGAAACUGGGUACCUGAGUCUACGGGGGCAGUUAGAAAAAG
ensembl:sense_intronic